rnacentral:rRNA from 1 species
CUUGCGAUAACACGCAGUUAAUACAACUUUCAACAACGGAUCUCUUGGCUCUCGCAUCGAUGAAG